AGGGAGUUUGAUCCUGGCUCAGGAUGAACGCUAGCGGCAGGCUUAACACAUGCAAGUCGAGGGGCAGCGCGGGGUAGCAAUACUCUGGCGGCGACCGGCGGAAGGGUGCGUAACGCGUGAGCAACAUGCCCGUGGCAGGGGGAUAAGCGAUGGAAACGUCGUCUAAGACCCCGUAACAACAGGGUUCGCAUGGACUUUGUUUGAAAGCUUCGGCGGCCACGGAUUGGCUCGCGUCCCAUUAGGCAGUUGGCGGGGUAACGGCCCACCAAACCGACGAUGGGUAGGGGUUCUGAGAGGAAGGUCCCCCACAAUGGAACUGAGACACGGUCCAUACUCCUACGGGAGGCAGCAGUGAGGAAUAUUGGUCAAUGGGCGGAAGCCUGAACCAGCCAUGCCGCGUGCAGGAAUAAGGCCCUACGGGUCGUAAACUGCUUUUGUACGGGAGCAAUAAGGGUCACGAGUGGCCUGAUGAGAGUACCGUACGAAUAAGCAUCGGCUAACUCCGUGCCAGCAGCCGCGGUAAUACGGAGGAUGCGAGCGUUAUCCGGAUUCAUUGGGUUUAAAGGGUGCGUAGGCGGCGUGCCAAGUCAGGGGUGAAAGGUUCCGGCUCAACUGGGACAGUGCCUUUGAUACUGGUGUGCUGGAGUGCGCUUGCCGUGGGAGGAAUGAGUGGUGUAGCGGUGAAAUGCUUAGAUAUCACUCAGAACACCGAUUGCGAAGGCAUCUCACGAAGGCGUAACUGACGCUGAGGCACGAAAGCGUGGGGAUCAAACAGGAUUAGAUACCCUGGUAGUCCCCU
rnacentral:rRNA from 1 species